rnacentral:rRNA from 1 species
GAGAGCCGUAACACAGGUGCUGCAUGGCUGUCGUCAGCUCGUGUCGUGAGAUGUUGGGUUAAGUCCCGCAACGAGCGCAACCCUUGUCAUUAGUUGCUACAUUCAGUUGGGCACUCUAAUGAGACUGCCGGUGACAAGCCGGAGGAAGGUGGGGAUGACGUCAAGUCCUCAUGGCCCUUAUAGGUGGGGCUACACACGUCAUACAAUGGCUGGUACAAAGGGUUGCCAACCCGCGAGGGGGAGCCAAUCCCAUAAAGCCAGUCGUAGUCCGGAUCGUAGUCUGCAACUCGACUACGUGAAGUCGGAAUCGCUAGUAAUCGUGGAUCAGAAUGUCACGGUGAAUACGUUCCCGGGUCUU